rnacentral:rRNA from 1 species
GUAUGCGAUCAUACCAGCACUAAAGCACCGGAUCCCAUCGGAACUCCGAAGUUAAGCGUGCUUGGGCGAGUUUGGGCGAGUGUAGUAGUAGGAUGGGUGACCUCCUGGGAAGUCCUCCAUCAGAAC